rnacentral:rRNA from 1 species
CUUUCAACAACGGAUCUCUUGGUUCCAGCAUCGAUGAAGAACGCAGCGAAAUGCGAUAAAUAAUGUGAAUUGCANAAUUCAGUGAAUCAUCGAGUCUUUGAACGCACAUUGCGCCCCUCGGUAUUCCGGGGGGCAUGCCUGUUCGAGCGUCA